GGAGAGAUGACCGAGCGGCUGAAGGUGCACGCCUGGAAAGCGUGUGUACGCGAGAGUGUACCGAGGGUUCAAAUCCCUCUCUCUCCGCCA
rnacentral:tRNA from 1 species